rnacentral:rRNA from 1 species
CCUGACUGCUAUCGGAUUGAUACUAAGCCAUGCGAGUCGUUGUAGCAAUACAAGGCAGACGGCUCAGUAACGCGUAGUCAACCUAACCUAUGGACGGGAAUAACCUCGGGAAACUGAGAAUAAUGCCCGAUAGAACAUUAUGCCUGGAAUGGUUUAUGUUCCAAACGAUUUAUCGCCAUAGGAUGGGACUGCGGCCUAUCAGUUUGUUGGUGAGGUAAUGGCCCACCAAGACUAUUACAGGUACGGGCUCUGAGAGGAGUAGCCCGGAGAUGGGUACUGAGACACGGACCCAGGCCCUAUGGGGCGCAGCAGGCGAGAAAACUUUGCAAUGUGCGAAAGCACGACAAGGUUAAUCCGAGUGGUUUCUGCUAAAGGAACCUUUUGUCAGUCCUAAAAACACUAACGAAUAAGGGGUGGGCAAGUUCUGGUGUCAGCCGCCGCGGUAAAACCAGCACCUCAAGUGGUCAGGAUGAUUAUUGGGCCUAAAGCAUCCGUAGCCGGCUCUGUAAGUUUUCGGUUAAAUCUGUACGCUCAACGUACAGGCUGCCGGAAAUACUGCACAGCUAGGGAGUGGGAGAGGUAGACGGUACUCGGUAGGAAGGGGUAAAAUCCUUUGAUCUAUUGAUGACCACCUGUGGCGAAGGCGGUCUACCAGAACACGUCCGACGGUGAGGGAUGAAAGCUGGGGGAGCAAACCGGAUUAGAUACCCGGGUAGUCCCAGCUGUAAACUAUGCAAACUCAGUGAUGCAUUGGCUUAUGGCCAAUGCAGUGCUGCAGGGAAGCCGUUAAGUUUGCCGCCUGGGAAGUACGUACGCAGUAUGAAACUUAAGGAAUUGGCGGGGGAGCACACAGGGGUGAAKCCUGCGUUC